ACGGGAGGCAGCAGUGGGGAAUAUUGCACAAUGGGCGCAAGCCUGAUGCAGCGACGCCGCGUGAGCGAAGAAGUAUUUCGGUAUGUAAAGCUCUAUCAGCAGGGAAGAAGAUGACGGUACCUGACUAAGAAGCCCCGGCUAACUACGUGCCAGCAGCCGCGGUAAUACGUAGGGGGCAAGCGUUAUCCGGAUUUACUGGGUGUAAAGGGAGCGUAGACGGCCAUGCAAGUCUGAUGUGAAAACCCGCGGCUCAACCGCGGGAUUGCAUUGGAAACUGUACGGCUUGAGUACUGGAGGGGCAGGCGGAAUUCCUGGUGUAGCGGUGGAAUGCGUAGAUAUCAGGAAGAACACCGGUGGCGAAGGCGGCCUGCUGGACAGUAACUGACGUUGAGGCUCGAAAGCGUGGGGAGCAAACAGGAUUAGAUACCCUGGUA
rnacentral:rRNA from 1 species